ACGCUCGACACCUACGGGGGGCAGCAGUAGGGAAUCUUCCACAAUGGGCGCAAGCCUGAUGGAGCAACACCGCGUGAGUGAAGAAGGGUUUCGGCUCGUAAAGCUCUGUUGUUGGAGAAGAACGUGCGUGAGAGUAACUGUUCACGCAGUGACGGUAUCCAACCAGAAAGUCACGGCUAACUACGUGCCAGCAGCCGGUAAUCUGAGCGGGCUGGCAAGGC
rnacentral:rRNA from 1 species